ACGUAGGGUGCGAGCGUUAAUCGGAAUUACUGGGCGUAAAGCGUGAGCAGGCGGCUUUGUAAGACAGAGGUGAAAGCCCCGGGCUCAACCUGAGAAUGGCCUUCGAGACUGUAAGGCUUGAGUGUGGUAGAGGGUGGUGGAACUUCGCGUGUAGAGGUGAAAUGCGUAGAUAUUCGGAAGAACACCGGUGGCGAAGGCGGCCACCUGGACCAUUACUGACGCUGAGGCGCGAAAGCGUGGGGAGCAAACAG
rnacentral:rRNA from 1 species